rnacentral:rRNA from 1 species
CCUACGGGAGGCAGCAGUGGGGAAUAUUGCACAAUGGGGGAAACCCUGAUGCAGCGACGCCGCGUGAGUGAAGAAGUAUUUCGGUAUGUAAAGCUCUAUCAGCAGGGAAGAAAAAAGACGGUACCUGACUAAGAAGCCCCGGCUAACUACGUGCCAGCAGCCGCGGUAAGACGUAGGGGGCAAGCGUUAUCCGGAUUUACUGGGUGGAAAGGGAGCGUAGACGGCGCGGCAAGUCUGAAGUGAAAGGCAGGGGCUUAACCCCUGAACUGCUUUGGAAACUGCCAUGCUAGAGUGCUGGAGAGGUAAGUGGAAUUCCUAGUGUAGCGGUGAAAUGCGUAGAUAUUAGGAGGAACACCAGUGGCGAAGGCGGCUUACUGGACAGUAACUGACGUUGAGGCUCGAAAGCGUGGGGAGCAAACAGGAUUAGAUACCCCAGUAGUC